UUUGUUCUAUAUAUAUAUAUCUUCAAAGCUUCUUCUUCUUCCCUACUGGCAGUAACUCAAACACCAGAUUGUUUAAGACGUAGCCAUGAACAAGUUCAAGAAAUCUCAGAUUCUGAUACUAUCUGUUGUGGCAGCACUUUUAUUCGUGCACCUCUUUUUUC